rnacentral:rRNA from 1 species
UACGUAGGUGGCAAGCGUUGUCCGGAAUUAUUGGGCGUAAAGCGCGCGCAGGCGGUCCUUUAAGUCUGAUGUGAAAGCCCACGGCUCAACCGUGGAGGGUCAUUGGAAACUGGGGGACCUGAGUACAGAAGAGAAGAGUGGAAUUCCACGUGUAGCGGUGAAAUGCGUAGAGAUGUGGAGGAACACCAGUGGCGAAGGCGGCUCACUGGACCGGUUCUGACGCUGAGGCGCGAAAGCGUGGGGAGCAAACAGG